rnacentral:rRNA from 1 species
UACGAAGGGGGCUAGCGUUGUUCGGAAUUACUGGGCGUAAAGCGCACGUAGGCGGAUUUGUAAGUCAGGGGUGAAAUCCCGGGGCUCAACCUCGGAACUGCCUUUGAUACUGCAAGUCUUGAGUCCGAUAGAGGUGAGUGGAAUUCCUAGUGUAGAGGUGAAAUUCGUAGAUAUUAGGAAGAACACCAGUGGCGAAGGCGGCUCACUGGAUCGGUACUGACGCUGAGGAGCGAAAGCGUGGGGAGCGAACAGG